AUGAUGAUGCAAGUGCUAGGAGGCAACAUUAGCUCCUCGUUGCUUGGUCUACAACACCUACAGUAUCUCAACCUCAGCUGCAAUGAGUUCUAUGGGGUGCAAAUACCAGAGUUCCUGGGUUCUCUCCACAAGUUGAGAUCCAUCGACUUAUCAAGAUCAACCUUCAGCGGAAGGAUUCCACCGCAGCUCGGUAAUCUCUCCAACCUACGCUGCUUAAAUCUUGGCUGGGCAGAUUACACAUACUCCAUGGAUAUCACUUGGUUGGCCCAAUUAACUUCCCUUGAGCAGCUCGACCUGAGUGGCACGAACCUCAGCACAAUCGUCCAGUGGCUUCCGGUGGUGAGCAUGCUUCCAUCUCUAAAAGUUCUUCGUCUUAGCGACUGCAAUCUUAGAGCUAGCUCUUAUUCACUUCAGAUUUCAAAUCUGACUUCUCUUGAAACACUUGACCUUUCCUACAAUUUCUACAAUACAAGUAUCACACCCAACUGGUUUUGGGGUUUGACCGGCCUCAAGUAUCUAGAUAUCUCAUGGAAUGGUCUCUAUGGCCAAUUUCCGGACGAGAUAGGUAAUAUGACCUCCAUGGUAAUGUUUGAUUUACAAAUGAAUAACCUUGUGGGCAUGAUAUCAUCGAACCUACAGAACCUAUGUAGCUUGGAAAAAUUCUAUGCACGCGGAAACAACAUCAAUGGAAGCAUAACAGAAUUCUUUCUGCGCUUGCCUAGUUGUUCCUGGAAUAAGUUGACACGUGUGCUUUUAUCUUCCAACAAUUUGACAGGAAGCCUACCAACCAAACUAAAACCCUUAAGCAACCUGUCCGGCCUUAUUCUUGGUAAUAACAAGCUCACUGGUCCUGUGCCACUUUGGAUAGGAGAGCUCAUGAAGCUGACUGAACUGGACCUGAGCUACAAUAACCUGGAGGGUUUCAUAAAUGAAGAACAUUUAUCAGGCCUUGAAAGCUUGGAAAAGUUGUGGCUGUCUAAUAAUUCCAUAGCCCUCGUACUGAAUUCGACGUGGGUUCCCCCUUCCAAUCUAACAGAUAUUGGACUUCGGUCAUGCCUUCUUGGGCCAAAAUUUCCAUUGUGGCUUAGAUGGCUAACACGUCUAGACAAUCUUGAUAUCUCAAACACGAACAUAUCUGACAAGGUGCCAGAUUGGUUUUGGGCAGUGGCUUCCACUGUGAGAACUCUGAAUAUGCGACAUAACCAAAUUAUAGGUUCUUUACCAUCUACAAUGGAACAUAUGAGAGCAACUGCAAUUGAUCUCAGUUCUAACCAGUUCAAUGGCCCAAUACCUAAGCUUCCCAUUAGUCUGAGUGAGUUGGAUCUUAGUAGAAACAAUUUAGUUGGCCCACUACCAUCAGACUUUGGAGCACCGAGUCUAGCAAGACUGAUUCUAUUUGACAACUCCAUCUCUGGCACAAUUCCUUCUUCAUUGUGUAAAUUGCGAUUACUACUUCUGUUGGAUAUCUCCGAAAAUAAGCUAACUGGACAAAUUCCUGAUUGUGCUGCUAUUACCUCUGAGACAAACAUGACAAGUAUUUUUUCGAUAAAAGGCGAUUUUAUUAUCUUAAAUGUAGCAUCAAGCGGAUACAAAGCAUUAUGA
rnacentral:rRNA from 1 species